rnacentral:rRNA from 1 species
CCUACGGGAGGCAGCAGUGAGGAAUAUUGGUCAAUGGCCGGAAGCCUGAACCAGCCAAGCAGCGUGCAGGAUGAAGGCCCUACGGGUCGUAAACUGCUUUUAUCCGGGCAUAAAGCGCCGUACGUGUACGGCCUUGCAGGUACCCUAUGAAUAAGGACCGGCUAAUUCCGUGCCAGCAGCCGCGGUAAUACGGAAGGUCCGGGCGUUAUCCGGAUUUAUUGGGUUUAAAGGGAGCGUAGGCCGCAGGUUAAGCGUGCUGUGAAAUCCCCGGGACCAACCCCGGCCUUGCCGCGGGAACUGGCGGCCUUGAGUGCGCGGAAGGCAGGCGGAAUGCGUGGUGUAGCGGUGAAAUGCAUAGAUAUGACGAAGAACCCCGAUUGCGAAGGCAGCUUGCUGCAGCGGAACUGACGCUGAGGCACGAAAGCGCGGGGAUCGAACAGGAUUAGAUACCCGAGUAGUC